UCUUUGCAGACAUGAGGAUGAAAGGAGGUCUGUUUUCGUCUAUGGGAAUAGUUGCUUGCGUUUAUGGAACUUGGAAUGGGGCCAGUAUCGAUAUAUUGUUGGCUGGCUAGCCUUGCUCCGGCCAAACGCUACGGCGGUUAGUUUCUUUCCGCAAUGAAGUAGCUAUUUAACGUUACCUAGUGAACAGAUGAUCGGAAGAAUUGAGUUUUAGUCGUCAGGCAAGACAAAUGGCUAUAACAUUAAGUGGUUGUGCCACUAUUCAGCUCUUCAGACAUGGGAGGGCUGCAAAUGGGAAUAACAUGAUCCCCUUCCAAGCUUGUGGACUGAAUGAAUCGCAUCAACUCUUAAGGAAAGCAUGUUCCAUUCAACUCCAUUGAAGGUGAUUCAACUCUAUUCAAUGCGUUUGAAGACUAAGCAUGGAACUGCUGGGACUGAUUGAUGGUUAAAUGGAAAGGGUAUUGAAGGAAAAAACACUAUGGUGGACUGCUUGCAUUUCAGGAAAAAAAUAUCCAGGAAUACAUGCUGAUUGUUUGACAUUCAAUGGAUUUGAUGCAUAGGUAGACGACAUGGCGAUGCUUGGACUGGGUUGAUGUUUCAUCGAGUCGAUGCAAGACAUGCAGAUUGUAUGGAAUGCGACAACUCCAUUGAAGGAUGCCACAGGAUUGUUUCUUUCUGGACUUGGGUGUGGGACAGAACGUUACAUCCUGCAGAUGAUUCACUAAACUCCAGGCCACAGGCUCAGCCACCACCAGCUGUGUACACUUGUCCCUUUGACACAUCUAACCCUGGAGUGUCAUUGCAUAAUCCUCUUGUCUUGCAAUGUCAGUGGUUUCUGAACAAAUGUACCACAUAAUGAAUUGAAUGUAUGGUCCCGACUGCAUACACAUUGGAACCUUGUCAAUCAGUGAAGAAUAAAAUUGACCUUCAUGAA